rnacentral:rRNA from 1 species
GAUGAACGCUGGCGGCGUGCCUAAUACAUGCAAGUCGAGCGAACAGACGAGGAGCUUGCUCCUCUGACGUUAGCGGCGGACGGGUGAGUAACACGUGGAUAACCUACCUAUAAGACUGGGAUAACUUCGGGAAACCGGAGCAAAUACCGGAUAAUAUAUUGAACCGCAUGGUUCAAUAGUGAAAGACGGUUUUGCUGUCACUUAUAGAUGGAUCCGCGCCGCAUUAGCUAGUUGGUAAGGUAACGGCUUACCAAGGCAACGAUGCGUAGCCGACCUGAGAGGGUGAUCGGCCACACUGGAACUGAGACACGGUCCAGACUCCUACGGGAGGCAGCAGUAGGGAAUCUUCCGCAAUGGGCGAAAGCUUGACGGAGCAACGCCGCGUGAGUGAUGAAGGUCUUCGGAUCGUAAAACUCUGUUAUUAGGGAAGAACAAAUGUGUAAGUAACUAUGCACGUCUUGACGGUACCUAAUCAGAAAGCCACGGCUAACUACGUG